rnacentral:rRNA from 1 species
CAAGCGGUGGAGCAUGUGGUUUAAUUCUAUGCAACGCGAAGAACCUUACCUGGUCUUGACAUCCACGGAAGAUUUCAAAAAUGGGAUUUUGUCUUCUGGAACAGUGAGACAGGUGCUGCAUGGCUGUCGUCACCUCUCGUUGUGAAAUGUGGGGUUAAGUCCCGCACCGAGCGCACCCCUUACCCUUUGUUGCCACCGGUCCGGCCGGGAACUCAUAGGAGACUGCCAGGGAUAAACUGGAAGAAGGGGGGGAAGACGUCAAGUCCUCAUGGCCCUUACCACCAGGGCUACACCCCUGCUACAAUGGCGCAUAACAAGAGAAGCGACCUCCCCAGAGCAAGCGGACCUCAUAAAGUGCGUCUUAGUCCGGAUUGUAGUCUGCAACUCGACUCCAUGAAGUCGGAAUCGCUAGUAAUCGUGGAUCAGAAUGCCGCGGUGAAUACGUUCCCGGGCCUUGUACACACC